rnacentral:rRNA from 1 species
GGGUUGUGAGGUUAAGCGACUAAGCGUACACGGUGGAUGCCCUGGCAGUCAGAGGCGAUGAAGGACGUGCUAAUCUGCGAUAAGCGUCGGUAAGGUGAUAUGAACCGUUAUAACCGGCGAUUUCCGAAUGGGGAAACCCAGUGUGUUUCGACACACUAUCAUUAACUGAAUCCAUAGGUUAAUGAGGCGAACCGGGGGAACUGAAACAUCUAAGUACCCCGAGGAAAAGAAAUCAACCGAGAUUCCCCCAGUAGCGGCGAGCGAACGGGGAGCAGCCCAGAGCCUGAAUCAGUAUGUGUGUUAGUGGAAGCGUCUGGAAAGGCGCGCGAUACAGGGUGACAGCCCCGUACACAAAAAUGCACAUAUUGUGAGCUCGAUGAGUAGGGCGGGACACGUGGUAUCCUGUCUGAAUAUGGGGGGACCAUCCUCCAAGGCUAAAUACUCCUGACUGACCGAUAGUGAACCAGUACCGUGAGGGAAAGGCGAAAAGAACCCCGGCGAGGGGAGUGAAAAAGAACCUGAAACCGUGUACGUACAAGCAGUGGGAGCACGCUUAGGCGUGUGACUGCGUACCUUUUGUAUAAUGGGUCAGCGACUUAUAUUCUGUAGCAAGGUUAACCGAAUAGGGGAGCCGAAGGGAAACCGAGUCUUAACUGGGCGUUAAGUUGCAGGGUAUAGACCCGAAACCCGGUGAUCUAGCCAUGGGCAGGUUGAAGGUUGGGUAACACUAACUGGAGGACCGAACCGACUAAUGUUGAAAAAUUAGCGGAUGACUUGUGGCUGGGGGUGAAAGGCCAAUCAAACCGGGAGAUAGCUGGUUCUCCCCGAAAGCUAUUUAGGUAGCGCCUCGUGAAUUCAUCUCCGGGGGUAGAGCACUGUUUCGGCAAGGGGGUCAUCCCGACUUACCAACCCGAUGCAAACUGCGAAUACCGGAGAAUGUUAUCACGGGAGACACACGGCGGGUGCUAACGUCCGUCGUGAAGAGGGAAACAACCCAGACCGCCAGCUAAGGUCCCAAAGUCAUGGUUAAGUGGGAAACGAUGUGGGAAGGCCCAGACAGCCAGGAUGUUGGCUUAGAAGCAGCCAUCAUUUAAAGAAAGCGUAAUAGCUCACUGGUCGAGUCGGCCUGCGCGGAAGAUGUAACGGGGCUAAACCAUGCACCGAAGCUGCGGCAGCGACGCUUAUGCGUUGUUGGGUAGGGGAGCGUUCUGUAAGCCUGCGAAGGUGUGCUGUGAGGCAUGCUGGAGGUAUCAGAAGUGCGAAUGCUGACAUAAGUAACGAUAAAGCGGGUGAAAAGCCCGCUCGCCGGAAGACCAAGGGUUCCUGUCCAACGUUAAUCGGGGCAGGGUGAGUCGACCCCUAAGGCGAGGCCGAAAGGCGUAGUCGAUGGGAAACAGGUUAAUAUUCCUGUACUUGGUGUUACUGCGAAGGGGGGACGGAGAAGGCUAUGUUGGCCGGGCGACGGUUGUCCCGGUUUAAGCGUGUAGGCUGGUUUUCCAGGCAAAUCCGGAAAAUCAAGGCUGAGGCGUGAUGACGAGGCACUACGGUGCUGAAGCAACAAAUGCCCUGCUUCCAGGAAAAGCCUCUAAGCAUCAGGUAACAUCAAAUCGUACCCCAAACCGACACAGGUGGUCAGGUAGAGAAUACCAAGGCGCUUGAGAGAACUCGGGUGAAGGAACUAGGCAAAAUGGUGCCGUAACUUCGGGAGAAGGCACGCUGAUAUGUAGGUGAGGUCCCUCGCGGAUGGAGCUGAAAUCAGUCGAAGAUACCAGCUGGCUGCAACUGUUUAUUAAAAACACAGCACUGUGCAAACACGAAAGUGGACGUAUACGGUGUGACGCCUGCCCGGUGCCGGAAGGUUAAUUGAUGGGGUCAGCGCAAGCGAAGCUCUUGAUCGAAGCCCCGGUAAACGGCGGCCGUAACUAUAACGGUCCUAAGGUAGCGAAAUUCCUUGUCGGGUAAGUUCCGACCUGCACGAAUGGCGUAAUGAUGGCCAGGCUGUCUCCACCCGAGACUCAGUGAAAUUGAACUCGCUGUGAAGAUGCAGUGUACCCGCGGCAAGACGGAAAGACCCCGUGAACCUUUACUAUAGCUUGACACUGAACAUUGAGCCUUGAUGUGUAGGAUAGGUGGGAGGCUUAGAAGUGUGGACGCCAGUCUGCAUGGAGCCGACCUUGAAAUACCACCCUUUAAUGUUUGAUGUUCUAACGUUGACCCGUAAUCCGGGUUGCGGACAGUGUCUGGUGGGUAGUUUGACUGGGGCGGUCUCCUCCUAAAGAGUAACGGAGGAGCACGAAGGUUGGCUAAUCCUGGUCGGACAUCAGGAGGUUAGUGCAAUGGCAUAAGCCAGCUUGACUGCGAGCGUGACGGCGCGAGCAGGUGCGAAAGCAGGUCAUAGUGAUCCGGUGGUUCUGAAUGGAAGGGCCAUCGCUCAACGGAUAAAAGGUACUCCGGGGAUAACAGGCUGAUACCGCCCAAGAGUUCAUAUCGACGGCGGUGUUUGGCACCUCGAUGUCGGCUCAUCACAUCCUGGGGCUGAAGUAGGUCCCAAGGGUAUGGCUGUUCGCCAUUUAAAGUGGUACGCGAGCUGGGUUUAGAACGUCGUGAGACAGUUCGGUCCCUAUCUGCCGUGGGCGCUGGAGAACUGAGGGGGGCUGCUCCUAGUACGAGAGGACCGGAGUGGACGCAUCACUGGUGUUCGGGUUGUCAUGCCAAUGGCACUGCCCGGUAGCUAAAUGCGGAAGAGAUAAGUGCUGAAAGCAUCUAAGCACGAAACUUGCCCCGAGAUGAGUUCUCCCUGACCCUUUAAGGGUCCUGAAGGAACGUUGAAGACGACGACGUUGAUAGGCCGGGUGUGUAAGCGCAGCGAUGCGUUGAGCUAACCGGUACUAAUGAACCGUGAGGCUUAACCUUACAACGCCGAAGCUGUU